rnacentral:lncRNA from 14 species
GAUACCGGCGCGGUGAGGAGCGAGGCGCCGGCCAUGGCUGUGUCCGGGAUCCUGUCCCGCCUGGCAACGGUGGUAUGUGUGGCGUUGGUGAUGCUGAAGGCGCACUGCGCGACGGGUGCGGGCAUGGGCUCUUGCUACGACGGUGCGGGACGCGCACAGCGCUGUCUGCCUGAGUUCGAGAACGCGGCGUUCGGCCGACGCGCCGAGGCCUCGCACACGUGCGGACAGCCCCCAGAGGACUUCUGUCCGCACGUGGGGGCACCAGGAGCUGGGCCACAGUGCCAGCGCUGUGAUGAUGCUGACCCCCGGCGACGCCACGACGCCUCCUACCUCACAGACUUCCACAGCCCUGAUGACAGCACCUGGUGGCAAAGUCCGUCCAUGGCCUUCGGGGUGCAGUAUCCCACUUCGGUUAACCUGACCCUGCAUCUAGGGAAGGCCUAUGAGAUCACCUAUGUGAGGCUAAAGUUCCACACCAGCCGCCCCGAGAGCUUUGCCAUCUACAAGCGCACGCACACGGGUGGCCCCUGGGAGCCCUACCAAUACUACAGUGCCUCCUGCCAGAAAACCUAUGGCCAUCCUGAGGGCCACUACCUGCGACCUGGUGAAGAUGAGAGGGUGGCUUUCUGCACCUCUGAGUUCAGCGACAUCUCCCCCCUGAAUGGGGGCAACGUGGCCUUCUCCACUCUGGAGGGCCGUCCCAGUGCCUACAACUUUGAGGAGAGCCCUGUGCUGCAGGAGUGGGUUACCAGCACCGAUCUCCUGAUCUCUCUGGAUCGUCUCAACACGUUUGGGGAUGACAUCUUCAAGGACCCCAGAGUGCUCCAGUCUUACUACUACGCUGUGUCUGACUUCUCUGUGGGUGGCAGGUGCAAAUGCAAUGGUCACGCCAGUGCGUGCGGGCCCAACGAGGCUGGUCAGCUGGCUUGUCACUGCCAGCACAACACCACGGGAGUGGACUGUGAGCGUUGUCUACCCUUCUUCCAGGACCGUCCGUGGGCCCGCGGCACCGCAGAGGAUGCCAACGAGUGUCUGCCCUGCAACUGUAGUGGGCACUCUGAGGAGUGCACGUUUGACAGGGAGCUCUAUCGGAGCACGGGCCAUGGUGGGCACUGCCAGCGCUGCCGAGACCACACAGCUGGGCCACAUUGUGAGCAUUGUGAGAAGAACUAUUACAGAUGGGACCCGAAGACACCAUGCCAACCCUGUGACUGCCACCCAGCAGGCUCCCUGAGUCUCCAGUGUGACAACUCGGGCACCUGUCCCUGCAAGCUGACGGUGACUGGCUGGAAGUGUGAUCGCUGCCUGCCUGGAUUCCACUCACUCAGUGAGGGCGGCUGCAGACCCUGUACCUGCAAUGUCGCUGGCAGCUUGGGCACCUGCGAUCCCCGAAGUGGAAACUGCCCCUGCAAAGAGAAUGUGGAAGGCGGUCUGUGUGACAGGUGGGUGUGCUGAGCUGCAUAGAGCUCCCAGCAGUGAUCUUGAGGGUCUCUGGUAAGGCACCAAAGCUGUAUAGUGAAGGGAGAGGAAGGGCAGGUACCUCAGAGACUUGGGCAAGUCAGUCA